AGAGAGAGACAUGCGCGCAUAUCAAUAAGCGGAGGAAAAGAAACUAACAAGGAUUCCCCUAGUAACGGCGAGUGAAGCGGGUAGAGCUCAAAUUUGAAAUCUUAAAGGGUUUCCCUUUACGAAUUGUAGUUUAAAGAAGUGUUUUCUGUUGAGGUUUUGGUAAAAGUUCUUUGGAAUAGGACAUCAUAGAGGGUGAGAAUCCCGUAUUUGACCUUUACUUUCAACUUUGUGAUACACUUUCAAAGAGUCGGAUUGUUUGGGAAUGCAGUCCAAAAUGGGUGGUAAAUUUCAUCUAAAGCUAAAUAUUGGCGAGAGACCGAUAGCGAACAAGUACCGUGAGGGAAAGAUGAAAAGAACUUUGAAAAGAGAGUUAAACAGUACGUGAAAUUGUCAAAAGGGAAGCGUUUGACACCAGUGUUGUUUUUCUGAAAAUCAAUUAAAGAACUGUUUAUGCUAAGCUGUUUAGACUUUAUCAGCUAACUGUUUAGUUUUGAGCUUUUCUUUAAUGCACUUUUCAGUUAACAAGUCAACAUCAAUUUCUUUUGCUGUAAAAAAGCUUGAGGAAGGUGGCUUGAGAUUCGUCUUAAGUGUUUAUAGCCUCUUGCCUAUGCAGUCGGAGAGAUUGAGGUCUGCAGCGUAGAUCCUUCGGGGCUAAAUGCAUUUGUGCUAAGUUAUAGCAUUUUAUAGACAACUUGUUGACUAUGAUUUGUCUUGUAGCUUACUCGCUUAUGUUAUUUUACCUACGCUUAGGAUGUUGACGCAUGAGAUAUACGC
rnacentral:rRNA from 1 species